rnacentral:rRNA from 1 species
UCCUACGGGAGGCAGCAGUAGGGAAUCUUCCGCAAWGGGCGAAAGCCUGACGGAGCAACGCCGCGUGAGUGAUGAAGGUUUUCGGAUYGUAAAGCUYUGUKCCAGGGAAGAACGUCYUUWAGAGUAACUGCUUAAGGAGUGACGGUACCUGAGAAGAAAGCCCCGGCUAAMUACGUGCCAGCAGCCGCGGUAAUACGUAGGGGGCAAGCGUUGUCCGGAAUUAUUGGGYGUAAAGCGCGSGCAGGCGGUCAUUUAAGUUGGGUGUUUAACCCCAGGKCUCAACCCUGGGUCGCAYCCAAAACUGGAUGACUUGAGUGCAGAAGAGGAGAGUGGAAUUCCACGUGUAGCGGUGAAAUGCGUAGAGAUGUGGAGGAACACCAGUGGCGAAGGCGACUCUCUGGGCUGUAACUGACGYUGAGGCGCGAAAGYKUGRRGRGCAAACAGGAUUAGAUACCCUGGUAGUCCACGCCGUAAUUYGAUGAAUGCUAGGUGUUAGGGGUUUCGAWACCCUGGUGCCGAAGUUAACACAUUAAGCAUUCC